GAUGAACGCUGGCGGCGUGCCUAAUACAUGCAAGUCGAGCGAACAGACGAGGAGCUUGCUCCUCUGACGUUAGCGGCGGACGGGUGAGUAACACGUGGAUAACCUACCUAUAAGACUGGGAUAACUUCGGGAAACCGGAGCUAAUACCGGAUAAUAUAUUGAACCGCAUGGUUCAAUAGUGAAAGACGGUUUUGCUGUCACUUAUAGAUGGAUCCGCGCCGCAUUAGCUAGUUGGUAAGGUAACGGCUUACCAAGGCAACGAUGCGUAGCCGACCUGAGAGGGUGAUCGGCCACACUGGACCUGAGACACGGUCCAGACUCGUACGGGAGGCAGCAGUAGGGAAUCUUCCGAAAUGGGCGAAAGCAUGACGGAGAAACGCCGCGUGAGUGAUGAAGGUCUUCGGAUCGUAAAACUCUGUUAUUAGGGAAGAACAAAUGUGUAAGUAACUAUGCACGUCUUGACGGUACCUAAUCAGAAAGCCACGGCUAACUACGU
rnacentral:rRNA from 1 species